UACGUAGGGGGCAAGCGUUGUCCGGAUUUAUUGGGCGUAAAGCGCGUGUAGGCGGCCACACAGGUCCGCUGUGAAAACUCGAGGCUCAACCUCGAGCUGUCGGUGGAAACCGUGUGGCUAGAGUCCGGAAGAGGAGACUGGAAUUCCCGGUGUAGCGGUGAAAUGCGCAGAUAUCAGGAGGAACACCGGUGGCGAAGGCGGGUCUCUGGGCCGAUACUGACGCUGAGGAGCGAAAGCGUGGGGAGCAAACAGG
rnacentral:rRNA from 1 species